AUUGCCCCUAGAGGCGUUGCAGACAUGGCUAUGGUUUCAUGUCUGUGUCAUUAGGUGGCAUAGAACACUGUGGCUGCGUCUACGCUCAGUGCCAUACUCGUGGGCACUCAGAAUGAUUACCAGCCAGACAUC